AACAUGCAGUCGAACGGCAGCACGGAGCUUGCUCUGGUGGCGAGUGGCGAACGGGUGAGUAAUAUAUCGGAACGUACCCUAGAGUGGGGGAUAACGUAGCGAAAGUUACGCUAAUACCGCAUACGAUCUAAGGAUGAAAGUGGGGGAUCGCAAGACCUCAUGCUCGUGGAGCGGCCGAUAUCUGAUUAGCUAGUUGGUAGGGUAAAAGCCUACCAAGGCAUCGAUCAGUAGCUGGUCUGAGAGGACGACCAGCCACACUGGAACUGAGACACGGUCCAGACUCCUACGGGAGGCAGCAGUGGGGAAUUUUGGACAAUGGGCGAAAGCCUGAUCCAGCAAUGCCGCGUGAGUGAAGAAGGCCUUCGGGUUGUAAAGCUCUUUUGUCAGGGAAGAAACGGUGAGAGCUAAUAUCUCUUGCUAAUGACGGUACCUGAAGAAUAAGCACCGGCUAACUACGUGCCAGCAGCCGCGGUAAUACGUAGGGUGCAAGCGUUAAUCGGAAUUACUGGGCGUAAAGCGUGCGCAGGCGGUUUUGUAAGUCUGAUGUGAAAUCCCCGGGCUCAACCUGGGAAUUGCAUUGGAGACUGCAAGGCUAGAAUCUGGCAGAGGGGGGUAGAAUUCCACGUGUAGCAGUGAAAUGCGUAGAUAUGUGGAGGAACACCGAUGGCGAAGGCAGCCCCCUGGGUCAAGAUUGACGCUCAUGCACGAAAGCGUGGGGAGCAAACAGGAUUAGAUACCCUGGUAGUCCACGCCCUAAACGAUGUCUACUAGUUGUCGGGUCUUAAUUGACUUGGUAACGCAGCUAACGCGUGAAGUAGACCGCCUGGGGAGUACGGUCGCAAGAUUAAAACUCAAAGGAAUUGACGGGGACCCGCACAAGCGGUGGAUGAUGUGGAUUAAUUCGAUGCAACGCGAAAAACCUUACCUACCCUUGACAUGGCUGGAAUCCCCGAGAGAUUGGGGAGUGCUCGAAAGAGAACC
rnacentral:rRNA from 1 species